UGAACGGGGACAGGGCAUCGCGGAACUGCAGGUCAUCUUGGCCUCGUGGAAUGUCGCGUUUGGGAGAGUCUUCUCGAGGACCGGACGGCCAGUCAAAGUCCAACUUGACAGUGGCCACUGCCCAUAGAGGGUGAUAGGCCCGUAAGGCGGCUGUCCGUUUUCGCUGACUUUUUCCCUAGAGUCGGGUUGCUUGGGAGUGCAGCCCAAAGUGCGAGGUAAACUCCUCGUAACCCUAAAUAUGACCCCGAGACCGAUAGCAAACAAGUACGGUGACGGAAGAUUGAAAAGAACUUUGAAGAGAGAGUUCAAUAGUACGUGAAACUGUGUGGUGGUAAACUGAGGGGUUCUCGAAGUUUCUGUGGGGAACUCAGCCUUGGUGUCGCGCGGCCCUGUUGUAUCCGAUCAGCAAUGACGGUGCGGUUUGGCUUGCGUGUCUCUCGGGUGCAUUUCCCCCGCAGUUUACGGCAGGAACUGUUUGGAGCUCACCGAAGGCCCUGGGUGAAGUUGUUGGUUCUGCUAGCAGCCCCGGGUGUCCUGGCUUAGCACCAGACAGGUACGUGAGAGGACUCGUAUAGCGAGCAAUGCUCUGUUGCGGUUCUCAUCUCUCUGCCGAGUAGGUCGGCGGCCCCUCAGACCCGUCUUGAAACACGGACC
rnacentral:rRNA from 1 species